ACAAACAGCCCCGAAUAUCCCGUCAAUGGAAUGGUUCUUACCUUUUUUAGUUAUCCAUGAAAGCUUUGUAUUGGGUAGUCGUUAGGUUUUCCGCACCAAGAGCUCAGCACUCUUACUUGCAUCUCUGUUCUCUCUGUUUCAGUUCUAUUGAAAUUGCUGCUGCUGCUCCUCCUCCUCCAAUGCAAAGAGAACCACCCAAAUUCCCAUGUGAAAUAGACACAGAGCUGGACAGAAUCAGCAGCUUACCUGGGCAUGUUUUACGCCAAAUUCUAUCACUUUUGCCGAUUAGGGAUGCAGUGAGAACUAGUGCGUUAAAAAGAAAGUGGAGGUACAAAUGGUCUCAAAUUCCUCAUAUUGUGUUUGAUUCUCAAGGCAUCUCAAUCUCUUCCCAAGAUCAAACUACAAUUAAGAACAAGCUUGUCAAUAUUAUCGAUCAUAUACUUUUACUUCACAAUGGUCCAAUUUACAAGUUCAAACUAUCUCACUGCGAUCUUUUAGGUGUCAGUGAUAUUGAUCGAUGGAUUCUUCAUUUAUCGAGAGGUUCUACCAAAGGAUUUGUACUUGAGAUAUGGAAAGGCCAGCAGUAUAAGUUGCCUUCUUGUUUGUUCUCGUUUAAGAACUUGGUUCAUUUAGAAUUAUUUAAUUGUUUGCUAAAACCUCCUUUGGCUUUCAAAGGAUUCCAGAACUUGAAGAAUCUUGACCUUCAGCAUGUUACCCUGGCACAGGAGGUGUUUGAGAAGCUGAUUUCUAGCUUUGCUAUGCUUGAGAGGCUGACAUUGAUUAACUUUGAUGGUUUUACUCAUCUUAACAUCAAUGCACCUAAUCUUCAAUUUUUUGACGUCGGAGGUGUUUUUGAUGAUGUUAGUUUUGAGAAUACUUUUGUAUUGACUCUGGUCUCCAUUGGAUUGUAUGUGAACGUCAAAAAUGACCAGAAUGUGUCUUAUGGGAGUUCUGGUAAAUUGCUCAGGUUUUUUGUUAAUCUGCCCCAUAUUCAAAGACUUGAGAUUCAGAGUUACUUUCUUAAGUAUUUGGCUGUCGGCAAAGUUCCAAGCAAGUUGCCAAAGCCAUGCAUUGAUCUGAACUACCUUUCUAUACGCUUAAAUUUCAAUGACUAUGAAGAGAAUUCAGCUGCCUUGUGUCUCUUGAGAAGCUGCCCCAAUUUGCAAGAAGUAGAGAUAUUGGCCCGCCCUGAGGAACAAGCUGUUGUGGGACCAGUAACUGAUUUCUGGGACGAUGACCACUGGAAGUGUUUAUUUGGCCAAUUGCGACUGGCGAAAAUAGUUGGCAUCUCUGGCAUUAGAUCUGAACUUGAUUGCAUUAAAUUUCUGCUUUCAAACUCUCCUGUGCUUGAGAAGAUGACCAUUAAGCCUGUUUCCAAGGAGGGAGGAUGGGAGUUGGUAAACCAAUUGCUGCAUUUUCAGCGAGCCUCAAUCCAAGCAGAAGUCUUUCAUCUGGAGCUAUAACUAUGGACUGCGUUUUGGGCAGGCACUGCUGCGCUGUAAAAUGCUUCCCAUGUAAAUCCAUUUUAUGAUUAGCAGGUUGCGCGAGCUCUUUUAUUGUUCUGCGGUGUUUUUAUGUUCGGCAGUUGGGAUGUGAUUGUUUUGACAAUGUGCUGUGCUGAUAUUGGCCUUUCAACUUAAUGAUUGUCUCUCUUUUGUGUUGAUGGUCAUCUCUGAAACCAGGAUAUCCAUAGGAAUAUAUCCUUUACUUUUCUAACUCUACCCUCCUAAUCAAGGCCACCCGUCUCAAAUCUAAACAGAAUGCUCUCUUUCAACACUCUAAAUAGAAUUAAAUCAAAGGAGUAGCCAGGCAUGGGGCUAGUUGUCGUUCAUAAAUCUUGAGAGUAUGUACUGCAUGCUGUACAAAUCAUGUGAGUUACAAAUAUGUUCCAAGCCAACGAAGGAUCUUGAAUAUGGAGUCACGGUCAAGUAUGGUUCUUAGUUCAUGGUCGCAGCUCCACCCAAUCACCACCGAAAUCCAUUUAAGAGGGAAGCAGGACAUCGUUAAUCCCAAGAAAGGGCCAGUGUUACUUCGGUUUGUCGAAACUCUCUCACACAACCAACCUUGUAAUCAUAACACAGCCAGA